GUGAACCUGCGGAAGGAUCAUUAUUGAAUAUAACAUGAUAGGCUGUAGCUGGCUCUUUGGAGCAUGUGCACGCUUGUCUUGCAUUCUAUUCAUCCACCUGUGCACUAUUUGUAGUCUUUGGAAGCAGAAGUGGGAAACAACUAACUCUCAGUUUAUCUAAAACUGGAUAAAGUGGAUUGCCUUUGUGAGCUCUCUCUUAACAAGUUGUAUACCUGUUUCUCCAGAGUUCUAUGUCUUUACACAUAAACAUUACAUGGUUGAGAAUGUAUUUAUUGGGCCUAUGUGCCUAUAAAACUUUAUACAACUUUCAGCAACGGAUCUCUUGGCUCUCGCAUCGAUGAAGAACGCAGCGAAAUGCGAUAAGUAAUGUGAAUUGCAGAAUUCAGUGAAUCAUCGAAUCUUUGAACGCACCUUGCGCUCCUUGGUAUUCCGAGGAGCAUGCCUGUUUGAGUGUCAGUUAAUUCUCAACCCCAUUAUCUAUUGGUGGUGGUUUGGAUGUGGAGGUUUUGCGGGCCCUUAUAAAGGUGUCGGCUCCUCUGAAAUACAUUAGCAGAACCGUUUGCAAUCUUGGUAUGAUAAUUAUCUAUGCCAGUAGGGGUUGCUCUCAGUCCGUUCAGCUUCUAAUAGUUUCUAUAAUGAAUCUUUUGACCUCAAAUCAGGUAGGACUACCCG
rnacentral:rRNA from 1 species